UUAUUUACUUGGCCUUGUUUCUUUGUAGGCAGUGAUAGAAAAUACCAGAGCAAAUGAUAUACACAAGCGAGUUCCCUUUUUAGUACCGUUUACUAGCAGGGUUAAGAUUUUCACUACACAACUAGCAGCAGCUAGGCAAAGGAAUGGAUCUCUUGCUGUUUUUGCCAGAAACCGGUUUAGAAUUCGACGAAAUCAUAUAUUGGAAGAUGCUUUCAGUCAGAUGAGUGCAUUGUCUGAAGUUGAUCUUCGAGGAUCGAUACGUGUGUCUUUUGUUAAUGAAUUUGGAGUUGAGGAGGCAGGAAUUGAUGGUGGUGGUAUUUUUAAAGAUGUCAUGGAGAACAUUACACGGGCAGCCUUUGACGUGCAGUA